rnacentral:rRNA from 1 species
UCACUUGUGACCCAAGUGAAAAGAAAUACCCCUUAAGACC